CACUCCGAGGAGCGUUGCAACGGAUGGCCUCGCCUUCCGCCAGGCUCGGAAUGUUUCAACGGCGCUCGCAGUUC
rnacentral:ncRNA from 18 species